AGCGAACGCUGGCGGCAGGCCUAACACAUGCAAGUCGAACGAACUCUUCGGAGUUAGUGGCGGACGGGUGAGUAACACGUGGGAACGUGCCUUUUGGUUCGGAAUAACUCAGGGAAACUUGUGCUAAUACCGCAUGUGCCCUUCGGGGGUAAGAUUUAUCGCCAUUAGAGCGGCCCGCGUCUGUUUAGCUAGUUGGUGAGGUAACGGCUCACCAAGGCGACGAUCAGUAGCUGGUCUGAGAGGAUGACCAGCCACACUGGGACUGAGACACGGCCCAGACUCCGACGGGAGGCAGCAGUGGGGAAUCUUGCGCAAUGGGCGAAAGCCUGACGCAGCCAUGCCGCGUGAAUGAUGAAGGGCUUAGGAUUGUAAAAUUCUUUCACCGGGGACGAUAAUGACGGUACCCGGAGAAGAAGCCCCGGCUAACUUCGUG
rnacentral:rRNA from 1 species